UAACCACUAAUGCUUGUAUCGGGUAGGCUUAGGAGCGGAUGUAAUGUUAUACCAAUGGGUUCAAUUGAAUCCAUGACUUUCGAUUAUAGUAAAAAUUUAUAUGCAAAAAUUCAUUACAACAACAACAAUAACCUAGUAUAAUCCCACUUAAUGAGAUUUGGGGAUGGUAGUGUGUACGCGAACUUUACCCCUACCCUAGGGUAGAGAGGUUGUUUCCAAAUAUGCAAAAAUUCAUUAAAAUUGGGUAGUGUGUAUGCGAACUUUACCCCUACCCUAGGGUAGAGAGGUUGUUUCCAAAUAUGCAAAAUUUCAUUAAAAUUGCAAAGAUAGUAGAUAUAAACUCAUAACUUUAAAAAUAUAAUGGGU
rnacentral:lncRNA from 1 species